rnacentral:lncRNA from 1 species
AUGUACUUCUUGAUGUCUUCUGAAUGUAUUGUUAAAUACUGUUAUUUUUUGAAUCUAGGAAGAUUCAGAUCAACUUCACCACAAGAAGAAAAUUCAGAUAUCUUUGGACUGCUGAGGUCUGACAUUCCCAAACCUAAACUUCCAUUUAGUGAGAAAUUCACUCACAAUCUUCACAUUCAAGUCUGUCUACAGGCAGUAGAUUUAAAAGCGCAAAUGGUAUUUGAAUGCAGUCUGGAAACUGUAACAUCAGAAGUGACAAAUAAAAGAUUCUUUAAAAAGGGAAAUAAUGCAAGACAAAGCCAGUAAGUAAGCCAGUUGUGUGAAGAACUGAAAAACUCAUUCUGAUGUUUCAUGUAGCACAAAUUCAGUUCUUUCUGCAACUUAGUAGACAUUUAUGCCCAUUAAUAACUGUAAUCACCCAUUAAAGUUCUUUUCAGUGAUGUUACGCAUGUACCUGGUACAUAUGGGUUUUCACGGACAGUCUUACUUUUAACAGAUAGCGAACACAAGACUGGAGAGUCAAAAAACUUGUACUUCAACUGUUACGCACUUAUGGAUGAAGAUUUUUUUUCAUUGAUUAUAUCAGUCAUCAAUUUAGCAAGCUGUAAUUUUUUCAAAGUAAACAAAGUCUUCAAAAAUUGUUUACCCAAUAUGAAUAUGAGGCAAUUUGCUACUAUUCUGCACUCUUACGAAGUAGCGUAGAACAGAUUAAUUCUCCAUGCCCCUCCACAAUCUUCGCCUACCAAUUUCUAAAAAUUAUGCAACUACCCAAGAAUUUAAGGGGCUUUUAUUCUUCCAACAACUGAUCUCUCCUGAGGCUGCACAAUUCGUUUAUCUGAUCAGACCUGUUCCUGUCUUAGCCUACAAUCAGCUGUCUUGAAGACAACGUCACAGAAACUUCGUGUCUAUGGUUAAAAUUAUUUCUCUUUUCCCAUCUGGGUGAUUGGUAAGACCAUCAUCUACUAGGUUAGGUGGACAUGGAGAAGUCAGGCUUCCUUGUACAGAACCUUUAGCUUUGUAGAUGGUAUAUAAUUUUCUCCACAGAGAAUGCGAAAAAGCUUAUUUUCAUCAUAAUUCAUGAAGACUUCUAUUAGGAGACUCUCUCAUACUGACUUUGUACUAGAUCUUUUUAAACUAUUUCACAAACCUUAGACAACUAGAUUAAAAGAAUGAAUUUCUCUGAGACAACAUGCAACGCUGACCCUGGCAUCUCUAGCUUCUUUAAUGAGGAGCAAAGGCUAAGUAUAUGAUCAAAGAAGCCUUCAAAAGGCUCUGAGGUUUCUGGAACUGAGGUUCAGUUGACUACUUACAUUGUCUAAUUUCCUCAAGGAGGUACUUGAUAUUAUCCACUGAAAAAUCAGAGUAUAGACAACACUAAGGAUAGAAGGCCUGCCUGGAGAAAUAAAAUUCUAGACAGAACCUUAUUCA